UACGGGGGGAGCAAGCGUUGUUCGGAUUUACUGGGCGUAAAGGGCGCGUAGGCGGCCAGCGCAAGUCAGUUGUGAAAUCUCCGGGCUUAACUCGGAAAGGUCAACUGAUACUGUGCGACUAGAGUGCGGAAGGGGUAACUGGAAUUCUCGGUGUAGCGGUGAAAUGCGUAGAUAUCGAGAGGAACACCUGCGGCGAAGGCGGGUUGCUGGGCCGACACUGACGCUGAGGCGACGAAAGCUAGGGGAGCAAACGGG
rnacentral:rRNA from 1 species